AUUGAACGCUGGCGGCAUGCUUUACACAUGCAAGUCGAACGGUAACAGGCCGCAAGGUGCUGACGAGUGGCGAACGGGUGAGUAAUGCAUCGGAACGUGCCCAGUCGUGGGGGAUAACUACUCGAAAGAGUAGCUAAUACCGCAUACGAUCUAUGGAUGAAAGCGGGGGACCGUAAGGCCUCGCGCGAUUGGAGCGGCCGAUGUCAGAUUAGGUAGUUGGUGGGGUAAAGGCUCACCAAGCCAACGAUCUGUAGCUGGUCUGAGAGGACGACCAGCCACACUGGGACUGAGACACGGCCCAGACUCCUACGGGAGGCAGCAGUGGGGAAUUUUGGACAAUGGGCGCAAGCCUGAUCCAGCAAUGCCGCGUGCAGUAAGAAGGCCUUCGGGUUGUAAACUGCUUUUGUACGGAACGAAACGGCUCUGGUUAAUACCCGGGGCUAAUGACGGUACCGUAAGAAUAAGCACCGGCUAACUACGUG
rnacentral:rRNA from 1 species